rnacentral:lncRNA from 1 species
UCUUUUCUUUCCUUUUCUUUCCUUUUCUUUCCUUUUCUUUCCUUUUCUUUAUUUUCUUUUCUUUUCUUUUCUUUUUCUUUUCUUUUUCUUUUCUUUUCUUUUCUUUUCUUAUCCUUUCCUUCCCUUUCCUUUCCUUUCCUUUUCUUUCCUUUCCUUUCCUUUCCUUUCCUUUCCUUUCCUUUCCUUUCCUUUCCUUUCCUUUCCUUUCCUUUCCUUUCCUUUCCUUUCCUUUCCUUUCCUUCCUUU